rnacentral:lncRNA from 1 species
GCCAAAUGUUGGAAUCUUUUAUUCUCUACUAAUUGAGUGCAAGGUAUAUUUUGAUUAUUAUUACGUCAUUAGAAGCUAAAUAUUUUAUUAAGUGUAUGAAAUAUGUAUAUGAUAUUUCAAAAAAUAAGUAUGAGAUAAUAAAUAAAAUUUCAUAAUAUAAUUUUAUUUACCUAUAGAUGAUCAUACAACAUUUUAAUGACAGUUACUUGCUUAUAAUUAACGUUCUAUAU